UACGAAGGGUGCAAACGUUGCUCGGAAUUAUUGGGCGUAAAGCGCACGUAGGCGGCAUAGCAAGUCGGAUGUGAAAUCCCUCGGCUUAACCAAGGAAGUGCAUCCGAAACUGCUGUGCUUGAGUACUUAAGAGGAUCGCGGAAUUCCCGGUGUAGAGGUGAAAUUCGUAGAUAUCGGGAGGAACACCAGUGGCGAAGGCGGCGAACUGGGAAGAUACUGACGCUGAGGUGCGAAAGCGUGGGGAGCAAACAGG
rnacentral:rRNA from 1 species